UGUGGUGCAGCCAUAGCCAGACAAAAGCUGAGCAAUUUUUAACCAUCAUUUUUGUGCACAGCAGAAAAUGCAGACUGUGCCACCACCUCACAUCCAGCUCUGCUCCAUUUGCCCUGAAAACCACGCUCAGUUUCAAAGGAGAUGCUUGAGCUCUAUUCCUGAAUAACGAAGAACAUGGCACGAGCUGCCCCACGGAGACAGAAAGAAGGACAGAGAGGGGCAACUCCUUCUCUGCAAUCCUUGGUGCUGCUGCAGCAUGGCCAGUGUCACCCAGAGUGCAAAGUGGCUCCAAUGUCCUCGGCUGAGGAAAGCCAAGUGUGAGAUGAGUUGGAUCCUUCCCGCUGUUCUCUGAGUGCGGUCGAUUGCAGCAUCUGGUUAUAAUGCCUGUAGGAUGGAUCAGUUUUUGGAGAUUUCCCAGAUUCUGGAGGAAGAGUGCAGCCUGCUGUGCAGAGGCUGGUGAGGGGCCUGGGGAGAUGAUGGCAUGGUGGCAUCUUGCUGCCUGACUGCUGACACUGUGCAUGGAUUGUGGAGCCACCACUCCAGCCUGGCCCAUCCCUCUGCCACGGUGUGCAGGGCAGGAGAUAAGGUGGAGAGCAUCUUAAGCCAGGCUUGAGUACUGGCAGCAAACACAAUGUUAAACUCUUUUUUUCCCCUCCAUUUAGUGGGAAAGUUACAGUCCCAGCUUUCUCACAGCAUUAACCCUCCUUGGGCAUUUUGUGGAAUGACAAAGUUUGGCAACGUUGGAGAAUUUGUGUUCUAAGACUGUGUGGCCUCACUUGAGGCAUUUGAAGUCCUGGGAGCCUGGCAAAGCUGUCUGGUUAUGCCCUUAGCAUUCGACUUCUGAGAAAGCCUGGAGAAGGGCAGAAGACUGCAAUAUAUGGAAGAGCAGUAUUUGCAUCACUAUCCAACAAGAGGGUGAAAAGGGACCAUAACUCAAGCCUCUCCACUACAUUGGCAUGCAUGGAAAAUACCUGUUGUGUUUUAAAAGGAGUGUCUGCAGACAAGAAAUGAGCAGUGUGGUGAUGGGAAUUAAUACAUCACGUAUAAACAGGGCAUUAAUUACUUUUGUAAUUAGAAAAAGAAACACGUGGGGAAUAAAUAUGCCUUCACCUCUUUUGGAUGCUUAAAAACACCUUCUUUGAAGAGGUUCUGGCAAAGCUUGGAGCUGUGAGGGCUGUGGCUGAGGAGCUCCCUGCAUCCCUGGGAUCCCUGUGGAGCGAUGCUGCUGCACCACACACAGCUUCAGCCAGGCUGCAGCCUCAGCAUGUGGGAAUUGCAAUCAGUUUCUCAAAAAAUCCAGGCAUUCAUGGCAGCAUUAAGAAGCUUUUUGUGGGCAAGAUAGCCCAGUGGAUUGAUUUAGUCACAUCAGUGUGUUCUGUAAAUAUAUGUUUGCCUUAGUCUAUAAAUAAAGGCAGUAGGAGCCAGUGAUCCAUGAACUUCUCUUUUGUCCUGGUAGCAAAAAUAAAUCAUAAAGGUUAGAAAUUGAUGAGUCUUGCCCUAACUGUCAUAAGAUGGGCUUAAUAACUAUGAAUGUAAGUGAAGAAGUUGGUUGUCUUUUGAUUUUGAGGCAUCAGGCUAAAGAAGAUUUCCCCUGUACAACCUAAAGGGUUUGGGAACACAGGAUUAGUGCAAUCCCAUUACUCCAGACUGAGAAAUUAAAAACAACUGUAAUUGAUUGCAAUUUGAUCGAGAUCCAAUUGAAGCAAUGAAGCUUCCUAUGAGUAAGGAGCAUCUUCUGGGAUUGCUUAAAGUGCUCAUCGUUGGACUCCUUUCCAUCUUGCCUACAGGGGCAAAUGCAAGAAGCAACCCAAUGCCAGUUUUCACUUCUGUAAUUUAAGAUAAAAACCUUACAGACACAUUCCAUGGCUUUGGUGGCAGGUCAAAACACCAUGUCCCCACCAGGAUGGCCCAUCCAGGAGGUAUCAGCAGAGCUGUGAUGGAACAAAAAGGGCCCGAACCUCUGAAUUUGGACUCAACGUUUCUAGACAAACGUGGUAGAAAUUUCCCCUUUGAUCAGUCCCAACCUGAGCCACUCUCUGUCCUGUGAGAGGAAAGGACCCUGCCUGACCUUUGGCUUCUUCCUUCCCUGAAGCACGGCCUAGGCUUGGCUAGAGGAGCUAUUGGCAAUUUCUAUUCUGGUCAUUUACUCCUUUUUGCAGAGUCUGACUCCACAGUGCAGAUGCUAAGGCACAGCUGUUUACCAUUUUUCACUGGUCAAUCAUGUGAACUGUCCCCUGUCACAGUGCCUGAGAAAAGACAUGGAAUGCUCCAGCAGAAAGAUGUAUGUGUCAGCUGUGGAUUGCUCCCUGUCACCUUCGCAGCGAGGAGGCGUCUCAGCAGCUGUGCUACAAACUUGGGCUUCUCUGCUCUGGGGUCCCUCUGCUCUGUCCCACGGCCCCUCUGGGCUCUGCCCCAGCCUGCUGCCUCCCCUGGGCUCAUCCUGCUCCUGCAAAGAGCCACUGGAGCUCAGCACCUCCUGCUGCCCAUGCCCGAGCCACAGAGCACUGUCAGAUCGUGAGAGGUGGGAGUGGGAGCUUCUGCAGGCUUUUGAGACCAUGUGGGAAUCAUCAUUUCCCAGGAAAUAUGUUUCAAAUGUGGUUCUUCCACUGAAGCACCUCCUCUGCCAGCCGGGGCUGCAGCUCCCCGGAGCCCUGGGGAGAUCCUGGGAGAUCCCAGAUGGGAUGAGGGAGCUGUGCUGUGGGUCAUGGACUGAGCCAAUUAACCCUGGUCAUUUAGGAGACAGCCUAAAUAGAGAGAAACCUGUGGCAAAGAGCAGCAGUGCCAGAGCUGCAUGGAGGGUGUGACUGUGCUAAAGCCUCUUGCACAGCCAUGGGUGACUCUGAUCUGGACCUGCCUUCACAGAAUCACUGAGUGCAGCAGAUAUUUCUGUAUUGGCUAGUUAGUUCCACCUGACUCACAAAAGACCCUUUUCCCCCCAGUUUUCUUCCAGCAAAGAGGUUCCUGCUUGUCUUAGGAUUUCCUCUUUCCAUGGUGUCCUCUUUGCUAACUCUGCAGAGUGCUGGGAGGCAUACAGGAAAGAAUUUCUAAUUUCCCAGGGCCAAAGUUUUUAACAGCAGAGAUUAGUCCUGGCAGGGGCUCCUGUGCUUGAGCUCCACACAUUUCACAGAUCCCUCUGGUAUGGGCAGGCUGCAGUGUUUUCCCUUUCCUUGUCAGCUUUUGGGACGCAUCCCUGAGAAAUGGAGCUGCAGGAACAGCACUGCCCCUCCCCUGCACCCAGCACUGCAGAAACACCUUCCACUAAACCACACCCCAAGCCCCAUCCAGCCUGGCCUUGGACAGAUUCAGGGAUGGGGCAGCCACAGCUUCUCUGACUAAUCUGGGCCAGAGCUUCUCCACCUCAGAGGGAAGAAUUUUCUCUUAACAUCUAUACUUAAUCUCCCCUCUUUUAGUUUAAAACUGUUCCCCCUUGUCCUAUCACUAUUUGCCUGUGUAAAUAAAGCUCAUUCAUGCAAAGAAUUCUUGUUUCUCCUACAGUUUGGCUACAGAAAAUCAGACUUACAUCAGCUUGACAGAGAGAAGAAAUUUAGCUGCUCUUCACAACACAUCAGCAUAAUGUAAUAUAUGCCUGAGAUUUCUAUAGAGGCUGAUACAGUUUUAUGUAAGCCUCUGAUAGUAUCAAAAAAAGAGACAUUUUUUAAAAGGCUUUUUUUGGUGUCCUCUUCUCUUGCACCCCUUAAGUGCAAACGAGCAGAUAAAAUCAAACAGAUGAUGUUUCACAGUCUUGCUGAAGCCAGGAGUGGGUCUGGGCAGCGAGGAUUAUCUCCAGAUCCCAAGUGCUCUAAUGGCUUGCAGGGAUGUUGGCCAUGGGAGCUGCUUCUGUGGCUGGGCUGAGAGCGGCUGGCUUCAAAGCAGGGUUGGGAAUUGUUCCUGUUCCAUAUAAAUUAAUUUCUCCCUCCACAGUGGGGCUCUGUGCAAGUGCAGGAGGGUUCAUGACAUGGUGAGGGUUCACUGAAAUGGAUGAAAGGAGACUACGAGCACAUUUCUGGAUUCUAGUGGGGCAUGUCUUCACGAUUCCUCAUUUUUGACUAUUUUAACAGGUUCCCAAACAUUUACUCAGCUAUAGAGUGUUGAUCUCCUGUUGCCAGCUUUUCAACUGUUUGUAACUCCAAUGUGCUUGUAAACUGCCUCUCUUAAGCAAUGACAGCCUUGACCAAAAAGUGAUUUAAAAAUAAUUUCUUCAUCAAAAAAUAUUGUGUCAGACAGAUGAUAAACAGGUAGCAAGUGGAGUUUAUUGUCUUUGGUAAACUGAAGUCUGAUUUACCAGUAACAAAUCAAGUAGUUCCAGCAAUCCAGUGAAAUCCUGUAACAAUGUUUGGGUUGACCAGGGCACCAAGAUAAGGCUUAAGGUAUUCAAUUAUUUUUUAAAGAGUAAAUGGGAUUGUCCUUUCUGUUCCAUGAGACAGGUGAGGAUGGGGUUUAAGAGGUUUAAUUAUUUCAUUUAAAUGAAAGGAGACAAGAAGUCCUGGCUGUUACAUCAGGCUUCCCAUAUCUGCCUCUACUUCUCUUGGUUUCUUUUGCUCCCCCCAGCUCUCAUUUGUGAGGCUGAGGCAAAUUUGGGCAACCUUGUGUUGCUAAAUAUGGCACUACUGACACAUGCAUUGUAGUCAGCGGG